CCAUCUUAUACCUCAGCCUCACUCCACACCUCACGCCUGACAUCGUUUUUUCACGUGCCUCCAACACCGUCUCUAACACCGCGAUGAAGCUUCCUUCCCGACGGUCAGAGUUGAGGACGACGACGGAUCUGUUGACGAAUCUCCACCGAGGGUGGCAUAUCGGACACGGAAUCGCGGGCAAGCGGUAGAAAUCGCGAGGGUUGCUGGGAGGAAGAAACACAUGAGAAAGGCAAGUACUUCUAUUAUUUGGGCAUGACUUCUAUGAGGUAAGGUUUAAGAACUAGUAGAAGUCGAUCAUUUGCUUCCGAAGCUUGAUUGACUGUCAAUGGAAUUGGGUUUGUUUUGAUUGUUGUUCCGUGGUGUUAGUGUUCUGUGUUCCUACGGAUUACAUGUUUGUCUAAAUGCGUGAACGAGAUGCUCAAUAGAUGAAUGAAUUGUGAUGUGAGUCUUCCGGAAUGACCUCGUUUUGUUUUGAGCUAUUAUGUUUCCAAUUCAGAUUUGGGCGCUCAUGAUUUGGUUCUGGAUUAGAUCGGGCCUUCCUGGUGGAUUGAGGAAUGAGGGAUUCUUGCACGGAUUUGUGGCUUUGGAAUGAAUUCGAUGUUGUUUGGCUUCUCUGGAUAACUGCGGAUUUUGUGAGAGAUUCAUGUGGCAUUGUUCUAUUUCUCCGGUGACUGUGUCGCUCUAUCCCAGGGCUGAUGGUUCUUCUAUGUGCUUAGAAUAUUAUAUCAGAAUUUGAAUAGACGAUUUGGCUUUUGUUCUGAGAUUCGAUGCAAUUCCUUUGUGGUUCUGGAAUUUCUGGGUGCAGGUUCAAUAGAUCAUAGUUCGUUUCUUUUUCCCUGUGAGAAUGCUCUUGCUUCUUUACGGUGUUUUGUUUCAAAUUUUGGACAGAACUAGUUAGGUUAGGUUGAGGUUGUUGUUCUUAUCCUUUCCUGUUGCACUGGGAAUUUCCAGAUUUACAUGGAUAGGCUGUGUAUAGAUUAUAUGAUGCACUUGGACUCCUCAGCUACGGUAAUUUUCAGGAAUUAGGAGUUUUUGUUUAACUUUGUGAUAUUGGUCUUGCUACCUCGUGGCGUCUUCGUAUUUUGAACGGAAUUGGUUAGCUAUGCUUAGGAUUUCCAUGUUGUGGGCAGAUUUGGUUGGCGUAGAGUCAAUCUGUUGAUGUUCUGUUUUAUUGAAGAGCUAUGGGUUUUGGUGAUUUAACUCGAAUAUGCACUGUUUCCUUGCUUAGUUGUGGUUUCGAGAAUUUAUCGUUGUCGUUGAGAUUCGUUCGAGAUUGCCAUGAUUUAUGGAUGUAUUGAUAGGUGACAGUGCUAAUUUUAUGGGAGUUUGUUCUUUUUGUUGUUCUGAAUUUAUUCUAGUUCUUUCCCUAUUUCUAUAUGCUGUAAGUGUCAAAUUCUACCUUAGUUUCUUAUUAUGUGAGUAGACUUUGUGUUACGUCUAGUUGUUGUAGGCGUUGGAAUUUAUUUCAGUUCUUUACUGUAAGGUACCAGUUUCUAGUUGUUUCCUUCAAGUGUUGAUAAAUGAUUAGGUGCUGAGUUUCAUUGCUUAUCGCUCACUUUCAUGGAUGCUCAUUUCCGAUGUCUUCCCUUAAGGUAAGAAUGUUUACAGAAUGGAAGGAAUGAUUAUGCCUAAUUAGUUGAUUACAGAAUAAUGUGGAUAGAUUAUGUUUUUUUGAGUGUCUAACGGGAUGAGUAUGAGCAUAUGUGGUAGCAGUACGGGUUGGGUGUCCCGGGAUGAGCUCCGGGGAGGGCCCUUCCAAACAUGACUGAUACUGUAAUCUAUGACUGAUACUGUAAUUUAUUGUUAGCUUCGGCUAUAUGAUUGCAUGUUCUCUAGGAGGUACCUCUAGGAUCCUGGGACUGUUGACAGACUCAAAUUGUGGUUACUGGAUAUGUGACAUACUCACCCCACUUAGCUACGUGAGGACGUCUCUCUGGAUAUGACGGGAGGCCUACGGACGGAGUAGAUUAGGAGGCGGGAUGGAUGCAUGACGUUGCCCGAUCAUUAGGAGUGCUGGGCAUACUCGUAUCAUUGCGAGAGAUUUUGGGUGAUGUUGAGGAUUCAUUGUGUUUUCUUGUUGAACCUAUACUUGAUAUGCUAUUUCUUACCUUCCAUAAGAGAAGAAAAUAAGAAGAAAAAAAUCUCCUGAUGGGUUUGCUUCCUUAAGUAAUUGUUUAGUUUAAGUCUAGCGAGGCGGAAAAAAAAUUGAUCUAGGGAUGUUUCAGUUGGUAUCAGAGCACACUCCUAAGGGGCAGCAUGCCUAAGUCAUCUCGUCAGGAACUCGACUACUUCAGCCACAAGUUUGUAAGAUUUAGGUUAUUAUAGUUCUUCAUUUAAUAUGAUAACUUAGUCAUGCUAUGAUUGAUAUAUUGAUAUGUAUUUAUGAGUCCCAAAUGAGAUUUUAUAUCAGAAAUAUCCAGGUUAUGGCUAGUCAAAGGAACAACGGUGACAUAGGUGGUCAGAAUAACCAGUUCUUAGAGGGGCUUACUGCACUCCUACAUGAGCAGAACCGUAUCCAUGGGGAGCAGAUUCAACAACUAUUGCAAGCUAGGGAAGAGGAGAGCACACUUAAACGUCCUACAUUUAGUCUGCAACUGGUCUACAAGCAAUUUCGGGAGCUUGGAUCGACUGAGUUUAAAGGCACCACAGAUCCGAUUGUUGUAGAAGGAUGGAUUCGAUCUCUAGAGAUGAUAUACGACUUCAUACAGCUUACAGAUGCGGACAAGGUCAGGUGCACGAUAUUUAUGCUGUGAGAUGAUGCACGAGUAUGGUGGGAAGGUGCACGAUUGACAGUUGAUUUGGCUACAUUGACAUGGGCUGAUUUCAAGGAGGUAUUUUACGGGAAAUACUUCACUACUGACAACAGAACCUGGCUGGCAAGGGAGUUCUUGGAGCUUCGCCAGGGAGAUUUGAUGGUGGUUGAGUACGUCAAGAGGUUCGAGAGGGGAUGCUACUUCGUACCCAUGAUUACCAGCCAACCAGUUGAGGAGCUGAAGCACUUUACAGAAGGAUUGAGAGAUGCCAUUCGCCAUGACGUCAGACUAAGUCGGGUCACCGCCUCCAGGGAGGCAGUUGGCCAGGCACUGAUGUCUGAAAGGGACAGGAAUGACAUGAUCAAGGAAGCCCAGAACAAGAGAUUGAGUUAUCAGGGAAGGGAUCAAUAGGAGUCGGGCAAAAAGAAGUCAUUUCCUAGUCGGUAUCAGGGCAAGCAAUCGCCUAAACAGACACAGCCACGUCAACAAAUUCAGAAAUCACAACCAGCUGAAGGUACUGCUUCCAAGGUUGAGAACAAGGUUCGUUGCCUCAAGUGAGAUAAGAUUCAUACUGGACAGUGUCUGACAGGUACCGAUGUUUGUUAUAUGUGCAAGAAGGCAGGGCAUUUUGCUAGGGACUGCCCUCAGCUCAAGAAGUCAACCAAAGGAAGGGUAUUUGCCAUGACUCAAGAGCAAGUGGAUCUAGACACGGCUAUCAUCACAAGUAUGAUUCUUGUUGCCAAUAUACCGGCGCAUGUAUUAAUAGAUUCUGGUGCCACCCAUUCAUUUAUAUCUGCGACUUACAUUGCAAAAUGGGGCAUUACACCUGAAUGAAUGAUUAAGGGAUAUAGUAUUUCUUUACCUUACAGAGAGGAACUACACAGUUACAGGGUGGUAAGAAAUUGUCAGAUGAUGAUGCAAAAUCAUAUCGUAGGUGCAGAACUAAUUGUGCUGGAUAUAGUGGAAUUUGAUGUGAUCCUUGGAAUGGAUUGACUGACUCAGCAUGAGGCUGUCAUCAAUUGUAAAUGACGAACCGUUAAGUUGAAGCUACCUAACGAGGGAUUCUUCAUUUUUCAUGCAAUCCCAAGACCAUCCUUCCCUCACAUGAUUUCAAUGUGUAAAGCUCGACGAAUGCUAAACAAGGGGUGUUAGGGCCUUUUAGUCAAUAUCACGGUUAAGUCAGAAACUCGGCGACCAAGUUUGGAGGAGGUGGAGAUAGCUCGAGAUUUUCCGAAAGUGUUCCCAGAGGAUGUUGUCGGACUACCCCCGAUUCGGGAGGUGGAGUUCGGAAUAGAACUAGUACCGGGGACUACACCGGUGUCAAAAGCACCAUAUCGAUUGACACCUACCGAAAUGAAAGAGUUGGAGCAAUUGCAGGAAUUGUUGGAUAAGGGUUUCAUUCGACCAAGCGUAUCACCAUGGGGAGCCCAGUGUUAUUCGUACAUAAGAAGGAUGGGACUAUGCGUCUAUGCAUCGAUUACCGGGAGCUGAAUCGAGUUACCAUCAAGAACAGGUAUCCAUUGCCCAGAAUCGAUGACCUGUUCGAUCAGUUACAAGGAGCAACAAUGUUUUCAAAAAUCGACUUGAGAUCAAGAUAUCAUCAGAUGAAGGUGAAGGAGAAGGAUGUGUAUAAAACAGUAUUCAGAACCCGAUACGGGCACUAUGAGUUCCUGGUUAUGCCAUUUGGACUUACCAAUGCCUCAACAACAUUUAUGGACUUGAUGAACCGGGGUUUUCACCCCUACUUGGACAAGUUCGUUAUUGUCUUCAUUGAUGAUAUAUUAAUUUACUCUAGAAGUUGCCAGGAGCAUCGUCUGCACUUGACGACAGUACUACAAACAUUGAAGGAUCAUCGACUAUACGCAAAAUUUUGCAAGUGUGAUUUUUGGCUGAAUCAGAUACCAUUUCUAAGGUACAUUGUCUUAGGGAAAGGUAUAGAAGUUGAUCAGCCAAAGUUGAGGCAAUCCGGAAUUGGGGCACACCAAAGAACACUACUGAGAUUCGGAGCUUCUUGGGGUUGGCAGGCUUUUAUCGGAUAUUCAUUCAGAACAUUUCCCGGAUUGCUCUGCCUCUAACCUCAUUGACUAAGAAGGGGGGUAAGAUAUGAAUGGACAGACCAGUGUAAGAGAAGUUUUGAGGAGCUGAAGGAAAGACUGACAACGUCACCAGUGCUUGCGUUACUAGAUGGUUUUGGACGAUUUGUGUUGUACAUUGACGCCUCCAAAACUGGAUUAGGGGCUGUGUUCAUGCAGAAUGGGAAGGUCAUUGCAUAUGACUCGCGUCAGUUGAAGGUGCAUAAGCAGAAUUAUCCCACACAUGAUCUGGAACUGGCGGCAGUCAUUUUUGCUCUAAAGAUUUGGAGGCACUAUCUUUACGGGGAACGAUGUGAGAUUUUUACAGACCACAAGAGUUUGAAAUAUUUCUUCACACAGAAGGAACUAAAUAUGAGACAGAGACAGUGGCUGGAGCUGGUGAAGGACUAUGACUGUAACAUCAACUGCCAUCCGGGUAAAACCAAUGUGGUAGCUAAUCAUUUGAGCCGCAAAUCUGCAAUGUUGGUGCAGCUAACCACCCAACAGCAGUUGAUAUCGGAAUUUUGACGGCUGAAUUUAGAGAUAGUAGCACCAAAAGAGCAGCUUAAAUUGUUAGCAUUGACCAUAAAAUUAAACCUACUGGAUUAAAUCUGGGAAGGGCAGAUGAUGGAUCAACAGUUAAUCAAAUAGAAGCAGAGGGAUGAGGAAAAGGGACAAGCUAUCUACAUAAUAGUGGAUGGAAUUGUGCGUUGCAAAGGCCGUAUCUGGGUGCCUAAGAUGGGGUCGUUCCGAGAGGAUCUCAUGAAUGAACCACACACUACCCCCUACUCCGUUCACCGUGGAAGCACCAAAAUAUUCAAGGAUAUGCAAUUACUGUAAUGGUGGCCAGGUAUGAAGAAAGACAUAAUCAAAGUAGUACAUGAAUGUCUUACAUGUUAGGAGGUAAAUAUCGAACAUCAGAGGCCAGCAGGACCACUUUCGAUACCCAUCUGGAGGUGGGAAGAGGUCUCUAUGGAUUUUGUGAUUGGACUACCAACCUUAGAUAGGGGAUCAAAUGCGGUGUGGGUUAUCAUGGACCGAUUGACAAAGUCAGCGCACUUUUUACCAGUAAAGACCACAUUCAUAAUGACACAGUAUGCAGAAUUGUAUAUAUGAGAGAUAGUGCGGCUACAUGGAGUUUCGGCCUAAAUAGUGUCAGACAGAGACCCAAAAUUUACCUCCGGGUUCUGGGAAAGUCUGCAUCAUGAAAUGGGUACCAGACUCACUUUUAGUACCGCAUUCCAUCCCCAAACGGAUGGUCAAUCCGAACGGGUGAUUCAGAUUUUGGAGGACCUGCUGCGAGCAUGUAUGAUGGAUUUCAAGGGAAAUUGGGAGUCAAAGCUGCCCCUGAUAGAGUUCACUUAUAAUAAUAGUUAUCAGGUCAUAAUAGGAAUGACUCCAUAUGAAGCGAUGUAUGGAAGGAAGUGCAGAAUGCCGUUGUAUUGGGAUGAGGUCGGAGAGAGAGUAGUUCUGUGCCACCUAGUGACCCAAACAGUGGAACUGGUGGAGAAAAUUCGGAACAGAAUGCAGACAACACAAAGCCGUCAAAAGAGUUAUGCAGAUCAAUGACGAAGAGAUUUGGAAUUUACAGUAGGAGAUCACGUGUUUCUCAAAGUGUCACCAAUGAAAGGGGUGCUGAGGUUCGGAAAGAAAGGGAAGCUCAGUCCAAGGUAUAUUGGGCCUUUUGAGAUUUUGGACAAGGUUGGAACUUGAGCUUACCGGGUUGCCCUACCACCAAAUCUGUCCGGGGUACACAAUGUGUUCCAUGUAUAUAUGCUUAUGCGAUACAUUGCUAAUCCAUCUCAUGUGAUCGGUCAUGAGUCCAUGCGGUGGAUGCCAGAUCUGACCUAUGAAGAACGACCAAAAUAGAUCCUUGAUCGCCAAGCCCGAAAACUGAGGAACAAGGAGAUCAAGAUGGUGAAGAUCCUAUGGGGAAAUCAGCAGAUGGAAGAAGCCACCUGGAAAACUGAACAAGAUAUGCGUAACCGCUACCCGGAAUUAUUUGCUAAGUUUAAUUUUAAGAACGAAAUUCUUAUAAGGAGGGGAGAAUUGUAAGGUCUCCUCCCGUGCUGGUUAGGAGGUUAUAACUAUAGAGAUAUAAAUAUAUAUCCAUUGAUAAAAGAGAAUAGGUAAUAAAAAUAAUAUAUAGGCUAAGAUCUUAUGGGCGUUAAUGAAAGGGUAUAAAUUUACUAAAUUUUCUAUGAAAUUCUAGGGAUGUAGUCGGGUUUCAAAAUGAACUGGAACAUCAUGGUUUAAGGGAUAGAACUGACAGGAUUAAGGGAAACAAAGAAAAGAUUAACUAACCUAAAAUACCCUAAGCUAACAUUAAGUAAGCAUAACUACCCUAGGUAUAAAAUGCCCCAUCUUAUCCCUCAGCCUCACUCAACACCUCACGCCUGACCUCUUUUAUUCAUGCGCCUCCAACACCGUCUCCAACACUGUGACGAAGCUUCCUUCCCGACGGUCGGAGUUGAGGAUAGCGACGGAUCUGUUGAUGAAUCUCCACCAAGGGUGGCAGAUCGGACUCGAAAUCGCGGGCAAGUGGUAGAAAUCGCGAGGGCUGCUGGGAGUGUUGCUGGGAGGAAGAAACACAUGAGAAAGGCAAGUACUUCUAUUAUAUGGGCAUGGCUUCUGUGAGGUAAGGUUUAGGAGGAACUAAUAGAAGUCGAUCGUUUGCUUCCGAAGCUUGAUUGGCUGUCAAUGGAAUUGGGUUUGUUUUGAUUGUUGUUCCGUGGUGUUAGUAUUCUGUGUUCCUGCGGAUUACAUGUUUGUCUAAAUGCCUGAACGAGAUGCUCGAUAGAUGAAUGAAUUGUGGUGUGAGUCUUCCGGAAUGACCUCAUUUUGUUUUGAGCUGUUCUGUUUUCUAAUUCAAAUUUGGGUGCUCAUGAUUUAGUUCUCGGAUAGCUCAGGCCUUCCUGGUGGAUUGAGGAAGGAGGUAUUCUUGCACGGAUUUGGGGCUUUGGAAUGAAUUCGAUGUUGUUUGGCUUCUCUGGAUAACUGCGGAUUUUGUGAGAGAUUCAUGUGGCAUUGUUCUAUUUCUCCGGUGACUGUGUCGCUCUAUCCCAGGGCUGAUGGUUCUUCUAUGUGCUUAGAAUAUUAUAUCAGAAUUUGAAUAGACGAUUUGGCUUUUGUUCUGAGAUUCGAUGCAAUUCCUUUGUGGUUCUGGAAUUUCUGGGUGCAGGUUCAAUAGAUCAUAGUUCGUUUCUUUUUCCCUGUGAGAAUGCUCUUGCUUCUUUACGGUGUUUUGUUUCAAAUUUUGGACAGAACUAGUUAGGUUAGGUUGAGGUUGUUGUUCUUAUCCUUUCCUGUUGCACUGGGAAUUUCCAGAUUUACAUGGAUAGGCUGUGUAUAGAUUAUAUGAUGCACUUGGACUCCUCAGCUACGGUAAUUUUCAGGAAUUAGGAGUUUUUGUUUAACUUUGUGAUAUUGGUCUUGCUACCUCGUGGCGUCUUCGUAUUUUGAACGGAAUUGGUUAGCUAUGCUUAGGAUUUCCAUGUUGUGGGCAGAUUUGGUUGGCGUAGAGUCAAUCUGUUGAUGUUCUGUUUUAUUGAAGAGCUAUGGGUUUUGGUGAUUUAACUCGAAUAUGCACUGUUUCCUUGCUUAGUUGUGGUUUCGAGAAUUUAUCGUUGUCGUUGAGAUUCGUUCGAGAUUGCCAUGAUUUGUGGAUGUAUUGAUAGGCGACAGUGCUAAUUUUAUGGGAGUUUGUUCUUUUUGUUGUUCUGAAUUUAUUCUAGUUCUUUCCCUAUUUCUAUAUGCUGUAAGUGUCAAAUUCUACCUUAGUUUCUUAUUAUGUGAGUAGACUUUGUGUUACGUCUAGUUGUUGUAGGCGUUGGAAUUUAUUUCAGUUCUUUACUGUAAGGUACCAGUUUCUAGUUGUUUCCUUCAAGUGUUGAUAAAUGAUUAGGUGCUGAGUUUUCAUUGCUUAUCGCUCACUUUCAUGGAUGCUCAUUUCCGAUGUCUUCCCUUAAGGUAAGAAUGUUUACAGAAUGGAAGGAAUGAUUAUGCCUAAUUAGUUGAUUACAGAAUAAUGUGGAUAGAUUAUGUUUUUUUGAGUGUCUAACGGGAUGAGUAUGAGCAUAUGUGGUAGCAGUACGGGUUGGGUGUCCCGGGAUGAGCUCCGGGGAGGGCUCUUCCAAACAUGACUGAUACUGUAAUCUAUUGUUUGCUUCAGCUAUAUAACUGCAUGUUCUCUAGGAGGUACCUCUAGGAUCAUGGGACUGUUGACAGACUCAAAUUGUGGUUACUGGAUAUGUGACAUACUCACCCCGCUUAGCUACGUGAGGACGUCUCUCUGGAUAUGACGGGAGGCCUGCGGACGGAGUAGACGAGGAGGCGAGAUGGAUGCAUGACGCUCUCCGAUCAUUAGGAGUGCUAGGCAUACUCGUAUCAUUAAGAGAGAUUUUGGGUGAUGUUGAGGAUUCAUUGUGUUUUCUUGUUGAACCUAUACUUGAUAUGUUGUUUCUUACCUUCCAUAAGAGAAGAAAAUAAGAAGAAAAAAAAUCUGGGUCAU